CCUACGGGUGGCAGCAGUCGAGAAUCAUUCACAAUGGGGGAAACCCUGAUGGUGCGACGCCGCGUGGGGGAAUGAAGGUCUUCGGAUUGUAAACCCCUGUCAUGUGGGAGCAAAUUAAAAAGAUAGUACCACAAGAGGAAGAGACGGCUAACUCUGUGCCAGUAGCCGCGGUAAUACAGAGGUCUCAAGCGUUGUUCGGAAUCACGGGGCGUAAAGGGGGCGUAGGCGGUUUCGCAAGUCGGGUGUGAAAGGCGCGGGCUCAACCCGCGGACGGCAUAUGAUACUGCGAGACUAGAGUAAUGGAGGGGGAACCGGAAUUCUCGGUGUAGCAGUGAAAUGCGUAGAUAUCGAGAGGAACACUCGUGGCGAAGGCGGGUUCCUGGACAUUAACUGACGCUGAGGCACGAAGGCCAGGGGAGCGAAAGGGAUUAGAUACCCCUGUAGUC
rnacentral:rRNA from 1 species